rnacentral:rRNA from 1 species
CCCUACGGGGGCAGCAGUGGGGAAUAUUGCACAAUGGGGGGAACCCUGAUGCAGCGACGCCGCGUGGGUGAAGGAGUACUUCGGUACAUAAAGCCCUAUCAGCAGGAAAGAAAAUGACGGUACCUGACUAAGAAGCCCCGGCUAACUACGUGCCAGCAGCCGCGGUAAUACGUAGGGGGCAAGCGUUAUCCGGAUUUACUGGGUGUAAAGGGAGCGUAGACGGCAGUGCAAGUCCGGAGUGAAAGCCCGGGGCUCAACCCUGGGACUGCUCUGGAAACUGCAAAGCUGGAGUGCGGGAGGGGCAG